GGCAUGUCACAGAAGUUUUACGAAAUCGAUUUAUUUCACCUUUUCCAAAUCGUUACGAUUUGCUUUUGCUUCUUCAGCACUCGUACGUUUUGACUAAUCCGGAAAAAAAAUCAUUUCACAUUUUUGAAAUAAAAAUAUGGUAACUCCAUGAAAAAAAAGUCGUAAACAAAUUAUUGACAAUUAAAAAAGGAGUUUAAAUUGUUUUUUUAUAAUAUAAACACCAAAAGUAAAAAUGCCAGGGGCUUCAAUACUUGCUGUAAUGGAUGAAGAAAUAAAUCUACUGAAAAAAUUCGUCGCCGGACAUUGAGGAACGCAUCAGAUCCUUUAUCUCACUCAAAUGCAGAAUUUAUAGCUUAUUAUCGGCUAAAUGAAGAAGCUUUUGUUUUAGUUUUGGAAAAAAUUUCUCCCCACCUCAAACGUUCCAAUAUACCGGCUAUUAUCCAGCUUGCAACAACGCUUAGGUUUUUGGCUACGGGUGCAUUUCAAGGAGUUAUAGGUAGAGAUGUGGAGCUAAGCCUUGGGAGAAGUACAGUUUCUACAAUUAUGUGGAGAGUUAUUAAUGCAAUUGAAGCUGAAAUUUGUCCACAUUGGAUCAAAUUAAGAAUGUCUUCCGAAGAAAAAAGAAAGUCGAAAUUGUACUUUUUUGAAAAUUAUGAAAUUCCAGGAAUUGUAGGAUGCAUUGACGGAACUCACGUUAGAAUGGUUAAACCUUCCGAAGACUAAUCCCUUUUUUACAUUUCUACACCUUCUUCUUCAACACAAAAUGCAAUAAUUCAACAAUACAAGUCUGCCGUUCAUUUCUGCAUAUUUUUUUGCGUUUUCAUCAUGGAUUAGAAAAAUAAUAGAUUUUUUGUAAAAUAAAUUCCAAAAACAU